rnacentral:rRNA from 1 species
UACGAAGGGGGCUAGCGUUGCUCGGAAUCACUGGGCGUAAAGGGUGCGUAGGCGGGUCUUUUAAGUCAGGGGUGAAAUCCUGGAGCUCAACUCCAGAACUGCCUUUGAUACUGAGGAUCUUGAGUUCGGGAGAGGUGAGUGGAACUGCGAGUGUAGGAGGUGAAAAUUCGUAGAUAUUCGCAAGAACACCAGUGGCGAAGGCGGCUCACUGGCCCGAUACUGACGCUGAGGCACGAAAAGCGUGGGGGAGCAACAGG